UGAUAAGAGUUGGAAAAGCUG
rnacentral:piRNA from 1 species